CAAAAGCUCCGCCAAACGGGCCUAAAUCGUCCACUUCCGGCAGCUUUAUUCGGCCGCUUUUCGCGAAGCUGGGGCUUUCAUCCACGGAAAAGGGGCUGCUCGAUUGCUCCGCUUUGAGCCCCAAGGAGUUUGUGGCGGAGAUUCAGCCAAAAUUUGCCCCUUUUUUGACUUUUCGAACGUGUUCCUUUCUGAAUCAUAGAGUUCGAUUAGACAUCAGGGCAAUGUGAAGCGCCUGCAGCCUGAGUUUCCGAUGGAGCUGUAUCAGGAUGAAGAGCUGAAAGAGGAGCACGGGAUCAAAACACAUCCAUGUCAAACGUGAUCUAGGAAAAGAAGACUGCUAGCAUAACUCAUUUGUGCUAAUGGCAAUAUAGGAUGGAAGGAUCUAUCCUCUAAGUGGCAUAGAAGCAUUUCAGGAAGAAGUAGCUAGAUGUGUAGAGGAAGUGGUUAGAAAGUGCUUGGAGAUUCUAAAUGUCAGUAUACAUGAACAGGGAAAGAUGGUGGUCGAACGUGAGAAUAUAAGAAAGAAUCAUGGAAAACCUGUUGUAUUAGAAGUUGUGUCUGCUACUUGAUUGCAAUACAGUUUACUGCCUCCAGAAGUGCUCUUCUCAACUAAGGCUUUCCAUCCAGACGUAUCUUUGCUAGAAGUCAAGGUAAAAGAAACUGGUAGUAGGAUAAAAUGCAUUGCAGUAGUCCUCUUCCAAUGAGUCAGGCACUUCUCUUUUCACAUUAUGUGCAAUAUGCCUCCAUGUGCCGCUUUGUGGUUUGAUUGUUGGAGGAUAUGCGAGGCAAAAAGAAAGAAAUUUGAAUGCAAUAUGUAGAAGCAAGACUGAAUGGAAAAGGGAAUUUAUUUUCCCUAAUUGUGAUUGUCCUUUAAACCCUUGUAGAAAACUCUUUAUCAUUAUCAGCGAAUCGUCUUUGUUGUGUUCUUUACUUGUCUUUUGUAUUAUCGACAUAUCUAUUUUUUUUAUUUGUGAAAUAGAGCUAGAUUCUUUCAUGUA